CAGGUCUUGACAUCCCGCUGCCCGGUCUAGAGAUAGAUCUUUCCCUUCGGGGACAGCGGUGACAGGUGGUGCAUGGUUGUCGUCAGCUCGUGUCGUGAGAUGUUGGGUUAAGUCCCGUAACGAGCGCAACCCUUGAUCUUAGUUGCCAGCAUUUAGUUGGGCACUCUAAGGUGACUGCCGGUGAUAAACCGGAGGAAGGUGGGGAUGACGUCAAAUCAUCAUGCCCCUUAUGACCUGGGCUACACACGUGCUACAAUGGAUGAUACAGAGGGUUGCCAAGCCGCAAGGUGGAGCCAAUCCCAUAAAAUCAUUCCCAGUUCGGAUUGCAGGCUGCAACUCGCCUGCAUGAAGCCGGAAUCGCUAGUAAUCGUGGAUCAGCAUGCCACGGUGAAUACGUUCCC
rnacentral:rRNA from 1 species